rnacentral:rRNA from 1 species
CUUGCAAAACUUAUAAGAGGUCCAGCCUGCCCAGUGACUCUGUUCAACGGCCGCGGUAUCCUAACCGUGCGAAGGUAGCGUAAUCACUUGUUCUUUAAAUAAGGACUAGUAUGAAUGGCACCACGAGGGUUAUACUGUCUCCCCCCUUUAAUCAGUGAAACUAAUCUCCCCGUGAAGAAGCGGGGAUACUUCUAUAAGACGAGAAGACCCUAUGGAGCUUUAAACUAACUCUUAAUUACCAUCCCCCUACUAAGCUACUGCAAAUUAUAGUCAAUCUGGUUUUAUAAGAGCUAGUUUUAGGUUGGGGUGACCACGGAGUAAAAAAUAACCUCCGAGCUGCAAGGGGAAUUACCCUUGAGCCACAAGCUACAACUUUAAGCACCAAUAAAUUGACAUCUAUUGACCCAAUAUUUUGAUCAACGAAC